rnacentral:lncRNA from 1 species
AGUAGGAGUAGUUGAAUUUUAUUUCCGCUUACAUCUCUACAGACUCUACGAAGAUUCUGUGUGUCACAGUGACAAACCAAGUAUGCUGUCCAUGGCCCAUCAACUUGGUGCCAUGAAUCUGAUUGUCCCGAAGGUAUAAUCAUUACUGGCUACUGGAGAUAAAAGAACUGUUUAUCUGGACCAGUUGUAUUUUGUAUCCGGACAUCCCCGUCAUCAUCAGAAUGUGUAUAAACAAAUACUUCAGGGUGAUCGUCAACCAUUUGGUCACUUGAUGUUUAUACUGUGAUUAUUUCGUUCAUUGCGGUCAUGGUCAACGCAUCCAGUAGCGGCGUCUGCUGCGCAUAGGUCAUAGAGGGCAGAGCGCCAUUAUCUGUAAAUUGAAUCAAGGUCAUUGAGAAAACCCAUAGAAAGCGUAAAAUCCUUGAAAGGAAAUGAAUUGAUGUCCAGAGAUGGUACAGUCAGUGCAGUAGGGAGGUCACAGGAAUACUAGUCCAGAGAUCACGAGAUUGAUACUCAAUGUGAGGUUUACUGACUGUAGCAGUGUGGUCAGAGAUCACACAUUUAAUUGCCCGGUGAGGUAGACUACAAUCAUACUACAGAAAGGAGGUCACAGGAAUUCCAAUCCAAGGUCACACAUUUG